rnacentral:rRNA from 1 species
UCUUUUUCAUUUAGCUAAACGCUAUUUAUUCUUCUAAGAAGUGAUUAUUUACGAGUUAAAAUAAAUCCACUAUUUAGUAAGUCAGAGUCUCGUUCGUUAU